GCGCCGCCCCUCUCCCCGAUCCAGAUCCGUCCUCCCUCCGAUGCUCUCCCCUCCGCUCCAUCCUCCCCUUGGACAAGAUCCGGCGCGCACGUCCCACACAUCGACCGCGCCCUCCCACCCACACAUCGCCACCGCCACCCGCCGCCACCUCCCUCUCCUCCUCCCAUCUGAAGAGAAGAGGGAUCUCGCGCCCAUCCAUGGCCAUCUCCUCUCAUCAAGCCCCCUGCUCCGCCGCGUCCUCGCCUACCUGGCCCUCUGCACCGCCGUGAUCUCCGGCCCGUCCGCGCCCCCCGACGUGCCCGCGGUCGCGGGCCCCCAGCCACCGUCGCUGUUGUUGUCCAGGUAGGCCCUUCCCCUCCUUCCUCGCCCAGAUCCACCCGCUCCUCCUCACCUUCUCCUCCUAUCUUUCCCGUUGCUGCAAGUCAUCAUGGCGUGGAGAUGGAGAUGACGGCAGGAGGGCGCCAACCUUGCCCUGCUCGAGAUGGAUGAGGGCUGCGCCUAGCUUCGGCCCUGCUCUGCUCGAGGAGGAGGAGGGGCAGGAGGAGAGGUUUCUUUCCAUCGAGACAGAUGUAUGAAACCUCUUAACUGUGGACGACAACUACUUGAGAAGGACCAUCAUCACCCAUCAAGUACGCCAUUGAGGGCGUCCGUGGAAGGCCCAGUCCUGACUCUCCAGUGAGUCCGGCAUUUGAUCGCUAUUGAAGGAGCUACAUGUAGAAGAAAACACUUGUAGAGCUUGUAACUGAUUCCCAUAGUUGUAGAGCUUGUAUCAACUAAGCUUGUAUUACGUGUAACUUGUAGAACUUGUAAAUGCUACAGCUUGUAGGACGUGUCAUUUGUAGAGCUUAUAAAUAAGCUUGUAUAUGCUACAGCUUGUAGGACGUGUCAUUUGUAGAGCUUGUAUUGAAUCUGGCUAUUGUUAUUUGAAGUAUCAUGUGUGUUUUUUGCU